rnacentral:misc_RNA from 1 species
GAUGAAGAACGUAGUGAAAUGCGAUACGUAAUGUGAAUUGCAAAUUCAGUGAAUCAUCGAGUCUUUGAACGCACAUUGCGCCCCCUGGUAUUCCGGGGGGCAUGCCUGUCCGAGCGUCAUUUCUGCCCUCAAGCACGGCUUGUGUGUUGGGCCCCGUCCUCCGAUUCCGGGGGACGGGCCCGAAAGGCAGCGGCGGCACCGAGUCCGGUCCUCGAGCGUAUGGGGCUUUGUCACCCGCUCUGUAGGCCCGGCCGGCGCUUGCCGAUCAACCCAAAUUUUUAUCCAGGUUGACCUCGGAUCAGGUAGGGAUACCCGCUGAACUUAAGCAUAUCAAUAAGCGGAGGA